UACGUGGAGGCGCUGGUGGGAUACUACCCUAGCUGUGUUGGCUUUCUAACCCGCACCACUUAUCGUGGUGGGAGACAGUGUCAGGCGGGCAGUUUGACUGGGGCGGUCGCCUCCUAAAAGGUAACGGAGGCGCUCAAAGGUUCCCUCAGAAUGGUUGGAAAUCAUUCAUAGAGUGUAAAGGCAUAAGGGAGCUUGACUGCGAGACCUACAAGUCGAGCAGGGUCGAAAGACGGACUUAGUGAUCCGGUGGUUCCGCAUGGAAGGGCCAUCGCUCAACGGAUAAAAGCUACCCCGGGGAUAACAGGCUUAUCUCCCCCAAGAGUUCACAUCGACGGGGAGGUUUGGCACCUCGAUGUCGGCUCAUCGCAUCCUGGGGCUGUAGUCGGUCCCAAGGGUUGGGCUGUUCGCCCAUUAAAGCGGUACGCGAGCUGGGUUCAGAACGUCGUGAGACAGUU
rnacentral:rRNA from 1 species